ACAGGAUGAAAACUGAUACACCAGUUACUAAUUACUCUUCACUCUUCAAACUGAUUCCCCUAAAGACUUCUACUUAGCAAAUACUAUAAAAUACGCUCUGUACAGGAAAGAAAUAAUAGCACAUGUAUUUGUGUUUUAUUAUUCAGACUGGCUGCCAUCCCAACUAGAUAAAGGAGAUUUUACUGGGCUGUAAUAUCUAGCACUUGCAUGUUUUCAGAGCACUCUAAACUGGUUGUCUCACUCUUUUCACACGAUCAGCAGGGAACACGUUCCCCAUUUUGCAGGGAAACCAAGGCCAGUAGAGGUGAAGCGGCAUACCCCAGGUCAUCACUCAGAUCGCUUGCCUCCAAGUCCAAGGCUCUUUCCCCUCCCAAUUCUCCUGAUCUGUGACCUCCUGGGCAUUCUGGCCAAUCUGCUUCCCUCUGACUUUGCAGACUGCACUGAUGGAACUACCACUAAGGCAGGUGUGAAGCCUGCAAUCUCCUGACCAGCUUGUGCUUCUUGGUUCUUAUGCAAGCCAGUUCUCUCUGUGAAAUAUUUCUAAGCAGCUCUCAACCACCAGGUCUAUGAGGGUCCCUGUUGUCCCUCAGCCAAGGCUGCUCUCUCCCCUAGAUCCCCACCUCCCAGGGUCACAAGGAUACACAAAACUAUUGCAGGAAACGUAGGUUCUUCCUGCAAUACAAUUAAAGCUGCUAACAUUUACUGAGUACCUACUGGUUGUUGUGAGGAUGAGGUAAUGUAUGUAAAGUUUUAGCACAGUCUGCGACAAUGUAUGUAAAGUUCUUAGCGUAGUCACUAUGCUAAGAACCUUACAUAAUUACCUCAUCCUCACAACAACCCAACAAAAAUUCUUACCCCUAUUUUACAGGUGAGGAUAUUGAGGUUCAGAAGGGCUAAGUGACUUGCCCAAGGUCAUCCAGUUAAUUGUUGAGGCAGCAUUCAUAACUCGAGCCUGUCAGACUCUAGAAUCCACUUUAUUUUUCCUCUGCUACACUGCCCUGGCUCCCUACCCUACAAGUGCUUAGAGAUCUAAAGCAAAGUAGAAAAGGAAAAGUGAGCAAGGCGGAGGGGCUUUUACAUUUUCACUGCCUGGCUCCCAACCCAGACUCUGGCAAGGCUAAUUCCAUGAUGUUUCACUCAGCGGCAGUCCCACCAGCCUGGAGCCCUGGGGAGCUGACCAGAGUCAAAAGGCUCCCUGGCAGGCUUGUUCUGGCAGCUGCCCAGCCGACUUGUGCUAACACAGCAACAGGCACAGGAAAGAGUCUAGAAAGAGUGGAAAAGCACCAGACACUGAACCGCUGCAGGGAGAGAAGUGAUUCCUGCCGUGCUCGGAGAGGACCCUAUACUAAAGCCACCACCAUCAUUGGGCUGGGAAGAGACGGGGGUAAGGGGGGAGCAAAAAGCCCCAAGCACAUCCACUCACUCAUGUGUUUCAGUGAACUGUGACUGGAAGGCCAGUCAAAAAGAGGGUCACAUGCCUCCAAGGUGAAUCAGCAAGCAUGGAAGAAAACCGGUCUGCACCUUGGUUCAUCCCAGCAACCCUGACCUGUCUAUACCCACAUCCACAUAAACCUUGCUAUCUAAUGUCACCCGAGCAGAGGCAAGAGCACAUAUACUAUCUUACAGCCACCGCAACGGCUGAUUUCAGCCAGCCUGUGGGAAAGAAAGAUCUAGCUGAG
rnacentral:lncRNA from 1 species